AAAACCUAUGACUUCACUGGUCGUAUGUAUAUGCAUCUAGACACCCAUAAUGAUGGAAAACACGCCUUCCCCAUUGCCAGAACCUGGAAGGAAGUGGCCAACGGGGUGGACGCAGUCUUCUCCUACAGUGACAAGAUCUACAUCAUCAAGUUGACAGCGCAACCAAGUUUACGUCUACAAAUCAGCAGCUCCCUCCACUCUGAUUGAGGGCUACCCUAAAAGCCUGAAAGAGGAGCUGGGCAUCGAAGGGCCUGUGAACGCAGCCUUUGUUUGUGCAGAUCACCAUAUUGUGCACAUUAUUCAAGAAGAUGCAGGACAUUGACCGGUCUGCCACCCCUAGGAUAGUAGCCAGAGAGGCCCCACUACCCAUCUCCGGCAUCGAGGCAGGCAUGUGUGGCCCUGAUGGCAUCAAAAUGUUUGUGGGCUCUGAGUACUACCACUACGACACCCCCAGGCUCCUGGCUUUCAGCAAGUUCCGCCCAGACCCUAAAAAAAAAUCACCCCAGCUGUGUGGAAUAGGAGUCGGUUUAUGUUAGAUACCUUUUCAAAGAAUGUCAAUUGUGAUCAUCUUUACUCAAUGGACAACAUGGUGUUUUAAUAGAAAAUUAGCCAAAUUUGCUGUCAAAAAAAUAUAAUCACAUGUUAAAGUAACUAUCCAGUGAGUCAAUAAAAUGAUUGACUCAUCCUAUGCUAUUUUCUGUGGCCAAAGCAUAUAUUUGAGAAAAAAAACACUUCAGAAAUCCCACCUUAAAUUUUUAUCUCAAACAGACCGUUUCAAAAAUGCUUGCUGUUUCCUCAUAGAGGAUGAUAUCCUCAGCGUUCUACUCACAUUAAUAUUUGUAAUGAUCGGUAUAUGUCAAAACCAUUCUGUUGUGUUGGGGUAACUAACACAGAAAAUAUGCAUAUAAACAUACUUCAUUUAAAAAAAUGUGGAAGGAAAAGUAUUUAUCUCAUAUUGGAAUUUAUUGUAGGUCAUAUUUCAUAGAAAUCUGGAAACACUUGGCAGUUACUUUAACUUGACACCACAACUCACAAGUCACCCAAACAAUGUUUUUUUAAGGUUCAAAUAAUAUUUUAUCAACAUUAUUGUUUAACAUUUUUGUAUGACAGAGAUUAGUUAAAUUAAAAAGAUGCAAAGAAAACUGAAAUAGUAUGAUUAUAUUGCAUUCAUUCAUGAGAUAAUUAAGAUACAGGAAAAAUCAAGUAAUACAUUCAGAUGAGUAAUUCUACAGUAUGACCAGCAAAAAUAAGUCUUACAAGUACAUGUGAUCAUGAACUGGAUAAUUAGGUGUCGUGUCUUUGGCCAUGCCGGAUUAAGUGAUAUGACAUGCUAUUCUA